rnacentral:lncRNA from 1 species
AGCAGCAGCAGCAGCAGCAGCAGCGGCACAUGAUUUAAUCCUUGGAGAGGCAGAUGGCAUGGGCCAAGUUUUCACUGGCAGAGUCUAGGAAACCCAGAGAGAAUUUAGAACCAGACUUCUACCAGGCAAAAUCGCAUUCACCUCAGGCUACAGAGAAUCGGAGUGAUGAGCAGAGUGCACAAAAGAUGUCUUGUUAUCAUCACCCAAAGGAAUGUUUUAAUUGGUCGCUCAUCCUUUUCAGAAAGCCAAGUCAUUCUCCAGUUAGCUGUAAGGUCGGGGUCAGGUCACACAUCUCGUCCAGAACUUAA